UUCCCAUGAAAUAGGGAGUAAGAUGAGGUGUUGUUGGGAGAUACGAAUAGUCAAUAAAAUCAAGAAAACCCCUGUAAUUAAGAAAAAAAAUGAAUAAAUGAUCGGGGCUUUUGAUUCAAAACUUUUGAAUCGACAACAUUAUCGACAUGUAACCAUGUGAAUCAAAUGUAAACAAAGUCUUUGUUGCACAAGCAUGCUCUUUAAGCGGUUUAUUCAAAAUUAUAAUACUCUGCUUCAUAUUGAAUGUAAAUUGAAAAUCUGGUUGAAUAAUUGCUUGAAUGUGAAUGUUAAUUUCAAUAGAACAACUUAUCCCUAAAGUUGUGCUCAUACUUACCACCAAUCUUUGUUGGCCAAGAUAAUUGCUGGGAUAUGAUUUUCAAAAUAUGCUGUUAAACCUGUCAACAUCAUUCCUAGGAUAACCAAGAAAUACAUCAGUGAAACACCUAUGGCUCUGUUGAACCUUAAAAUGGCCAUAACAGCUAAUCCAAUCAGGAAGAGUUGAAUGUCUGCGCUAACAUACCAUGUGUGGGUUAAGCACUGUUGAAUAAAUAGGAAAGAAACUCAGUCAUUAUCGACAUUGGGAUUGUUUUAUAUUUAUCUAAUGUCAUCGUAAUUGAAUAAGAAAAUUAUAGAUUAAAGAUUAUUUAAAGAAAAUGAUUAUCGGUGUUUUUAUUUGAAAGACAAAUCACUGCUAAUAUCUUGUUUAAUGACCCUGCGGGAUUAAUCAGGAUUGACAAUGACUCUACGCUCAACCUUGGAUUCAAUAUGCAGAUCAUUUCGUAAGAAACAAUUCUGGUACCAGUGUAGUGAAUCAAUCAUAGAGUUGGGACUAAAGUUAGCAACAUGACCAGAAAGCUUAGCGAAAAUUUAUCAAUGAGAAAGUAACCAAAGGAUAAUCACUCAGAAGACUAUCAAAGGAGCAAGUCUUAUGUACGAAGAUUAUUCAUAAGCCAUGCUGAAAUACCUUAAUGGAUUAACUUCUGAUU